GUCUGUUCCUCUCUCUAUUUCUAAGUAUCGAUGUUGCUGUCCAUUAUCUAUCCAACCUUCUAGCUGACUGUCUAUCGACUUAUUUAGCUAUCUGUCUGUCUGUAAGUCACUGGCAGGAUUCAAAAGCCGUUAUCGUUCUCACAUGUAAUGCUGCGAUACACUUUAUUUAGUCAAACAUUGUCAUACUCGUUUAUCGAGUCGAUAUACGAAGGGAUGCUGGAAAGUGGCUAUCUUUAAGGGUGUUGCGAAAGCCUGGUUGGCGGCCCGACCUUCCGGGUUCUUUUACAGGGCUUCGCAAAACUGAAGGACCGCUGUGUGAAUCUGAGAGGGGAAUAUGUUGAAUAAAAUCAUAAGUAACUGAUAUCCCUGUAUUUUCUUUUAUCCAAAGCCAGGGACUUUUCAGGGUCGUUAGAACGUCGGAUACGAAGCCUCAUAAUAUCUGUUCCGGCUCCAUAAGUCCACCCAGAUCAAACUUUGCCUUUCAACCUUUCGGGUUCGAAAAAAAAAAAAAGAAAGAAAAAACGUUCAAGUCACCAACAGGCAGAGUGAGAAGGCUUCUUCUAUAAUACUGGUGAGUUCGUGGUUAAGGAAAAAAAAAAACAGUCUGUGAUAUAACACUGUCAGGAAAAUGGUAUAUAUAUAUAUAUAUAUACACACUUUUACUUGUUUCAGUCAUUUGACUGUGGCCAUGCUGGAAUACCGCCUUUAGUCGAGCAAAUCGACCGCAGGACUUAUUCUUUGUCAGCCGAGUACUUAUUCUAUCGGUCCAUUUUGCAGAACCGCUAAGUUAUGGGGACGUAAACACACCACCAUCGGUUGUCAAGCGAUUUUGGGGGGACAAACAUACACACACACACACACACACACACACAUAUAUAUAUAUAUACAUAUAUACGGCGGGUUUCUUUCAGUUUCCGUCUACCAAAUCCACUCUAGGCUUUUGUCGGCCCGUGGCUAUAGUAGAAGACACUUGCCCAAGGUGCCACGCAGUAGGACUGAACCCGGAACCAUGUGAUUUUUAAGCAAGCUACUUACCACACUCCUACGCCUAUACAACACACUCACACACACACACAUAUCUGUGUCUGUAUUUAUCUUCCCAACAUCGCUUUACAACCGAUGCUGGUGUGUUUACGUACCCAUAACCUAGCGGUUCGGCAAAAGAGACCGAUAGAAUAAGUACUAUGCUUUCAAAGAAUAAGUCCUGGGGUAUAUUUGCUCGACUAAAGGCGGUGCUCCAGCAUGGCCGCAGUCAAAUGACUGAAACAAGUAAAAGAGUAUUAAUUAUAGCCCCGUGGAUGCUGAGGAUAAUGUAUGCGUUUCUAGGAAUCAUUUACGAGCUACAUACUAUAUUAGUUGCUGAGAAAUGCAGCGAUGAAGACAAUGGUAUGGUAUGCCUGGAGUCGGAAUCCUUUCCAAUGUUUGUGAGAUGCUGGCUUAUCUGAUUCUGAAGAUGGAGAUUUCAAAGGUUUUGCGGCGAAUGACGAUUCAAGUAAACUUUCAUCUUUUACAUGGUUGCUUAUUAUGGCAAUAUUUACAGUUCGAGCUGGCAGAAACGUUAGCACGUCGGGCGAAAUGCUUAGCGGUAUUUCGUCUGCCGCUACGUUCUGAGUUCAAAUUCCGCCGAGAUCGACUUUGCCUUUUAUCCUUUCGGGGUCGAUUAAAUAAGUAACAAUUACGCACUGGGGUCGAUGUAAUCGACUUAAUCCGUUUGUCUGUCCUUGUUUGUCCUCUCUGUGUUUAGCCCCUUGUGGGUUGUAAAGAAAUAGGUAUUUCGUCUGCACUAUUCCCUCAUGUCUACCUUCACUCUUUGUUUCUCUCUCUCUGCUCUCUCUCUUUCUCUCUGCAUCAUUGCCUGCCAGUUUGCCCUAGUAGGUACACCCAUCCUGCACUUCUUCCAUUAACCCUCUCUAUACGACGUAAAUCGUGACUGAAGCUCUCAACCAACCAACCAACGAACGUUUAUAUCAGUUGUUUUUAUACAGAGAUUAUUUGCUUUGUCAGCAAAUAUUUCCUAUUAGCUGUAGGAAUUCAUUCACAGUCAUUGUAUUUUGCUGCUUGCUUUGUGGCAGUUUUUAGCGAUAAAUUAGUUUUGUCUGCAUGUAUCAUUAUUCACUGAUACCGAUGUAAGCCAUUUCUUUACAUCUCCACUAAAUUUAAUUUAUUUUCCUUUCAUCGUUACUAUAAUGUUAUUAUAUGUGAUUUCGCACUUGAUUCCAAUAUAUAUUCUAUUUACAUGCACAAAAUUAUGUUCUUCUCUCACAAUUGCGUCAGAAUAACGUUCACUAAAUGUCUAAAGAAACUUACCAAAGCUCGUUUUGCCCUUUGUAAAUUAGGGUUGCGUCUUAUGCGGAGCUGCGUAUGAUGGGACAGAAAAUGCAUAUAUUAAUGGAUAUGUACACAAAUAUGUUUGUAUGUAUGUGUGUGUGUGUAUGCAUGUAUGUAUGCGAUACAACGUAAAGUAGGAUAUAUAUAGUCUACAACUAAUACACUAAUAUAUAACAGUUAAUAAAAACAAAUUUGGCGCUUCAGUUACAAUUAUAUAUGUAUGAAUGUGUAUGCUAAUAUAUAAAUGCGUGCGCGCGUGUGUAUAGGUACAUUCUAUAUUAUUUUACUUGUUUCAGUCAUUUGACUGCGGCCGUGCUGGAGCACCACCUUUAGUCGAACAAAUCGACCGCAGGACUUAUUCUUUGUAAGCCUAGUACUUAUUCUAUCCGUCUCUUUUGCUGAACCGCUAGUUUAUGUGGACGUAAACACGCCAGCAUCGGUUGUCAAGCAAUGUUGGGGCGAGGGGGACAAACACAGACACACCGACAUAUACACACACAUGCAUAUAUAUAUAUAUAUAUAUAUCUUGUGCGUGCUAAUAGAUGCACAGUUGCUACUCUUAUGCUUAGAGAUCCACAUAAAUUAUCAUAUUCCAGUAUCGUGGCAGAGUAACUACUAUAGUGACACCAGUUCUCUGUAACUUAAUGCAAUAAAGAGUUCCCUUAGUGAUCCGUUGUGGUUAGUGAUCUGGUUAAGCAUCCGAAUGCACUUGGAACACACAAUGCUGAGUUCCUAACCACCAUAAUGGUGCAAGUAAUAAUAUCAAAGUGUGCCUGACGUAAUGUCACCUACGCACGCACACUCAUAUUGAGAGUUAUUACUUAUAGUAGCGCUCCGUCGGUUGCGACGACGAGGGUUCCAGCUGCUCAUGAAAUUAACGUGCAAGUGUCUGAGCACUUCGCAGACACGUGUACCCCGAAUGUAGUUCUGGGGGAGAUUCGGCGUGACCCUGAGUGUGACAAGGCUGGCUCUUUAAAAUAGAGGUACAACAGAAACAGGAAGAAAGAGUGAGAGAAGUGGUGGUGAAAGAGUACAGCAAGAUUCGCCACUACCCCCUGCCGGAGCCUAAGGAGCUUUUAGGUGUUUUCGCUCAAUAAACACUCACAAUACCUAGUCUGGGAAUCGAAACCGCGAUCCUACGACCGCGAGUCCGCUGCCCUAACCACUGGGCCAUUGUGCCUCCGCUAUUACAUAUACGUAAGUGAAAGCAAUCCUAGAUUUGAAAGCAAUUUGUCAAGCUUUAGACAAACAAGGACAGACAAACGGAUUAAGUCGAUUACAUCGACCCCAGUGCGUAAUUGGUACUUAAUUUAUCGACCCCGAAAGGUAUAUAUAUAUAUAUAUAUAUAUAUAUAUAUAUAUAUAAAUUAAGUACCAAUUACGCACUGGGGUCGAUGUAAUCGACUUAAUCCGUUUGUCUGUCCUUGUUUGUCCACUCUAUGUUUAGCCCCUUGUGGGUAGUAAAGAAAUAUAUAUAUAUAUAUAUAUAUAUAUAUAUAUAUUUUAUCUAGUUUCAGCUGACGAGCUGUGGCCAUGCUGGGGCACCGCCAUUUAUACAAAAUAAUUCUAAAUAUAAAUGAUUGUAACCGUAACAAAAAGUUAGUAUUACAAAGAACAAAUUUAUACGUAUAUAUAUAUAUAUAUAUAUAUAUAUAUAUAUAUAUAUAAAUAUUCCCUCGUUGAAGCAACUGAACAUCCAGACUCCUCGAAUUGGUGUGCCAGUGGCUGGGUAAUCCAUAGAUAUGUGUAUCCUUAAGGUCCUUCACAGGCGGUAGCAUCGUAUCGAGGCUGGUGCUUUGAAUUAGGGAUACAAUCCAUUUGAUGGACUUCUGUAGAAUUUCUGUUUACUCUAUUUUACUCACAUGUCAUAUAUGUGUUUGAGGUAAUAAAAAAUUGCAUUUGAGAAGAUGCUAUGCUGUAGUUACAGAGCCAGGACUUCGCAGAUUCAAAACGAACUUCUUAACCAAAUAGGCAUACAACAUCUAAAAUACAAAUACUAUUGGUAAGAAAUACGCUAGAAACAGUGCGGUUUAGUAAAGUUUCUAUAUAUCAUGAAAGGAAACAAAUCUGAAGCAAAGACAAUUGCCUCGUUAAAACUUUUAUAAGAAAUCUAAAGGCCUAAAACGAUUGCAGGAAGCUAUGAAAACUAAUAUGUAGCACUAGUCUAUUAAUUAGGGGCUAUAGGAAGCGGGGACGGAGAGUUCAACCGGUAUGUAUAUUUGCAUAUGUACAUACCUACAUAUAUAUGUAUAUAUACAUGCAUAUAUGGGUACAGGAUUAAAAAAAAAAACGUCAACAAAAUGAGAAACGAGAACAUGAAAAACAAAAACAUGGAAAGCGAACUUUAUAUAUGAAUAUAUGUAUUGUGGAACAUGUAGAAAGAUAAAUUUUAACCAACGCGUAGAUACUGAACAGUAUAUGUAUAAAGGAUAAAAUCCUAUUCGGAUCUUUUCGGUUUGAACAGCAGUUUUUAAAAAAUAAUUUCCACGUAACUAAACACUUUUAAACUUCGUAUACUGGUAGAAUGUGUUUAUAAAAUAUCUUUUUCUCUUGGUUUUAUUGAGAAAAUUCUAUGGUUUGUAAGAUAUUUGUUGUUGUUUUUUCUUCAAUUUCUACAAUUUCAAUCAAUCAGUGACGUCUAUUGAGGUAAAAAAAAACAUUCUGUGCCGUAUGAAUAUGUCCCUCGUUUAAGAAACAGAUUGGGUUUAUUUACAUUUCUGAAGCAAAAAAGAUACCCUCCCCCCCUAACCCUAACCCUAAAACAGAUACUAGGGUCAUAAUUAUGGGUGACAAUUUCAUAUGACACCGCUAGAAAAAACUGCCGUUCAAACCGAAAAGAUCCUCCUCUUCUUUAAAAGCAGAAAAAAAAUUGUCGGCAGCCAGCCAUGAGGAUCGAACUCACACCUUUUCAAUAUCCGGUUAGAAUGCUCUACCAUUUAGGCUUAAAUGGCGACAAAGUUUUCUGCUUUUAAAGAAGAAGGGGAUUUGAUCCUUUAUAUAUAUACACUUCAGUAUCUACGCGUUGAUUAAAAUUUAUCUUUUUACUUGUUCCACAAUACAUUUCAACGAUUCCCAAACAAACUUGUUUGUUCACAUCGGAUAUGUAUGUGUGUGUGUGUGUAUGUAUGUGUGUGUGUGUGUGUGUAUGUAUGUAUGUAUGUAUGUGUGUAUGUAUGUGUGUGUGUGUAUGUAUGUGUGUGUGUGUGUGUGUUUGUAUGUAUGUAUGUAUAUGUAUGUAUGUAUGCAUGCAUGUAUGUAUGUGUGUAUGCAUCUAUGUAUUCAGGCACUUAUUCCACAGCCAGCCUAUACUCUCCUCGUCCUGUCGAAAGACGCUUGUCCUGACGUCCUGGUUUUGUUAUGAUUGUUUUUACGUUAUUUUGUAUUUUUAUCCGUGCUAUCUUUAUUGUUUUUACGUAUUUUUGAAUUUUUUUUUUUCGAGUAACAUCGUCCGUUUUUUCCGUCACCGUGUUGUAUACUUUCGAGGUUUUCUUCCAAGGAAUCUAAUGCGAUUGGCUUAGAUUUCCCUUAGCGGUCUGCCCAGAUUGGAGCAAUCUCAAGAUUAAUCAGCCGAAAUUGCGAAGAUGAUCUGGUUCUUGACUGAUGACUGAGAGCUUCGAAAGUCCCGUCUGUGUGUUUUUUUGUCGUCUUCAAAAUGUUUCACGUUCUUGUCCCAGUUUGUGUUUUUUUAACGUUUACCUAUUUAUGUAUAUAUAUAUAUGUGUGUGUAUGUGCGUGGUUUAUAUUACGUAGGUAGAUGUAUUUGCAUAUGUACUUGUAAUCCCAUACAAGUUGUAUAAUAUUAUUCAGACGUACGCUUAUAUAUAUAUAUAUAUAUAUAUAUAUAUAUAUAUAUAUAUAUAUAUAAUUUAUGUGUGUGUAUGUAUAUGCAUACAUAUAUAUUUAUAUACAUAAUACCUUGCCACCAAUAUCACCACCACGCACACACGUCAACAUAAAUAUAUAUUCUGAAGUAAGAAAAUAUCCGAAAUUUCAAAAUUUACUUUUUUUCUCUGAAUGUCGAACUAGUAAUUUUGAUUGGAAACCUCUCCCGUUUAACGGUUUAUGUACUCUCUCCGCCCUCUCCCUCUCUCUCUUUCUCUCACUCUUUCUCUCACUCUUUCUCUGUCUCGCUCUCUUUCUAUCCCAUUCACUCGCCCAUCAUACAUGUAUGUAUUUGUGUGUGUGUGUGUGUGUGUAGGAAAAAUUAUAAAUACAAGUUUCUGUUCUUUGUUCUCUACGUACGUUUCGCCGUCCUGACUAUUUGCGAUCGCGUGCUAGGCCAACCCUACACGGUGUACCCCUUCCCCUUCUCCGCUUUUUGUUUUGCAGCAUACUCCAGCCAUCAUCUUUAUACAGCUAAAAAUGCAUUCGAAAAAUUCUUGCUAACAAGAAAUCUAUAUUUUUCUAAUUAUGCGCAUCACCGAGUAAAUCUGUUAUCUAGAAAAAAAUUGAAAUGUUCUUGCCAAAUAAUGUGACAUAUCAUAACCCCACACAACCUCGUCUCCUCUGCUCCGUCUCAUGCCCACUUUCUACAGGCUUCUGUUCUGAGACUUUGUGACUAAGUUUUCGUGUUUCUAGUUGGAUUGAGUAAUUUUGCCGAAGUUAUUCAGCAGAAUUCAUGCAAUGAACCCGAUUUUAGCGCCUUAGGCGAUCGCCUGCUUUGCCUUGAGUGCAACGCUAGUUCUGUGAUGAUGUAGCUUAUGUUUAAAAAGCUGCACGCAGUUUUGUAUUGAGGUUUUGUUCACCUGCCUAAGGUGAAUGAAAAUUUUCUAUUAAUUUGUGGAAAUAUAAAUGGAAUGCUCACUUGCAUCAUUUAAACUGAUUAAUAUAUAUGUGUGUGUGUUUGUGUGUGUGUGUGUGUAUAACAUACAUACAUAUAUGAAGAGAGAGAGAGAGAGCGAUAUGUAUUUCUGUAUUUUUUCUUUUAUUUCUUUUAUUCGUUUCAGUCAUUUAACUGCGACCAUGCUGGAGCACCGCCUUUAGCCGAACAAAUAGAACCCAGGACAUUCUUUGUAAGCCUAGUACCUAUUCUAUCGAUCUCUUUUACCGAACCGCUAGCUACGUGGACAUAACCACACUGGCAUCGGUUGACAAACACAGACACACAAACAUGUAUAUACAUAUAUAUAGAAAGGCAGCGAGCUGGCAGACACAUUAGCGCACCGGGCGAAAUGCUUUCGUCUGUCGUUACGUUCUGAGUUCAAAUUCUGCCGGGUUCGACUUUGCCUUUCAUCCUUUCGGGGUCGAUAAAUAAAGUACCAGUUUCGCACUGGGUCGAUGUAAUCGACUUAAUCCCUUUGUCUGUCCUUGUUUGUCACCUCUAUGUUUAGCCCUUUGUGGGCAAUAAAGAAAUAUAUAUAUUUAUAUACACACACACACACACACACACACACACACACACACAUAUAUAAUAUAUAUAUAUAUAUAUAUAUAUAUAUAUAAUAUAUAAUAUAUAUAUAUAUAUAUAUAUAUAUAUAAGUGUGUAUAUAUAUAUAUAUAUAUAUAUAUAUAUAUAUAUAUAUAUAUAUAUAUAUAUACACAUGGUGAAUAUAUAUAUUCGCCAUGAUAGAUCGCUAGCCAUUACACAUUCUUUAUUUUCUCAUUAAUGAUAAUAAAAUAAAAAUAUUUUCUCCUAAUAGGCACGUGGUUUGAAAUUUGGGGGAGAGGACUAGUCGAUUACUCGACCCCAGUGUUUUACUGGUACUUAAUUUAUGGACACCGAAAGAAUGAAAGGCAAAGUCAACCUUAGCGGAAUUUGAACUCAGAACGUAGCAACGGGCGAAAUACCGCUUAGCAUUUCGUCCAGCGUUCUAACGAUUCUGCCAGCUCGCUGCCUUCAAUAAUAGUAAUAAGAAUAUUUUCUAUUCUAGGCACAAGGCCCGAAAUUUUCGGGGAGGGGGCCAGUCGAUUAGAUCGACCCCAAUACACACCUGAUACUUAAUUUAUCGAUCCCGAAAGGGGGAAAGUCAACUUCAGCGGAAUUUGAACUCAGAACAUAAACAUAGACGAAAUGCCGCUAAACAUUUCGCCCGGCGUGCUAACGUUUCUGCCAGCGCGCCGCCUCCAAUAAUAAUAAUAAUAAUAAUAAAAAGAAGAAGAAGAAGUAUAUAAUUUAUUUGCCACGAGGGCGAAAGACGAGGGAGACAAUAGAGAGACAGGCAUAAAGUAUGGAGGGUUAAUAAUAAUAAUAAUAAUAAUAAUAAUAAUAAUAAUAAUAAUAAUAAUAAUAAUAAAAUCCCUGAUGCAGUACCAGGCAGUGGCUCUCGUGGCUUCUGAUCUUAACUAAUUGGAAGUGUUAUGUACAUUGUUUUGUCUUGGUAUAAAAGAUGGACUACAGCAAAUAUUCUGUUCAAUACCACAGAUUUGCUUGUUAGUUAUUUGACCUUAACCAGUUGAGCAUGUCCCUUAGUGGCUGACGAUAUGUGCAUCUCUGAUCACGAACAGAAGUAGUGGGGGAGCAUCAUAGCCAUGUGUUGAGACGGAUUCUUUGGGGUUUGAAUAAUUCACCCCUGGAAACAUGGGUGUUUCGUUCAACAUCCUUAAACAACCCUUAUUCAGGGACCUUUUGAGCGGGAUGGGCUACUCGACCAAAAGAAAAUUCUAACUGGGCCCCACCUGCAAGGUCAUGUGCUGUUUAUCUUGAUAUGAGAUAACCAUGUCGCGCGCACAUGGUUGUGAUGCAUGUGCCUAGUGUACCCUUAUCACAUGGAUAGUCAUGAUGGGUAUACUGGGCUUCGUAUAUUUUACCCCAGUGUCACUUUGAUGGCAUGCACUGCUCUCUCACUCAAUAAUAAUAAUAAUAAUAAUAAUAAUAAUAAUAAUAAUAAUAAUAAUAAUAAUGGUUUCGAGUGUUGGUCCAACAGCUGCAAUUUUAAGGGAAGGGUGAGUUGAUUAAUAGUGCCCAGCUGGUACUUAUUUAAUCGAUCCUGAAACGAUGAAAGGCAAAGUGUAAACUUAGAACUUAAAGCCGGAAGAAUUGUCGCCAGGUAAUAAGGAAGCUUCUAUAUAGUUGUUCUAGAAACAGCAGCUAAAUCUUCUUCAAAUUUCAACCUACUGUCCCAAAACAAGGAGAAGGCUCAUUGAGUCAAAUAAUUCUGUGACAAACAUUGGAACAAGUGGAGAAGAGGCGGUUGUGCUAGAUCAUGACUUCGUUUAGAUUUUGUCAAAAGUGAAGAAGAAUAACAGGAAAGACAGAACUGGUGAGGUUGUUGUUGUUGAUUUACUAGAAGGCAAACAUAAAAGUGAGAAUUUAUGAGGGUUUUCUUGUCGUUUUACUGUUUUUAUGGCCGUUCCUCUGCAAUUCAGAUAUAAAAAGGUGUUCAACUCGGCAAGAGCCGUAUUGUUUUAUGUGAUUUCGACUUUUUCCUGAUUCAUUUCCUUUAACUCUAUCUUCGUUCGAUAUGUUUUGUCUUCCAUUCAUCUCUCUCAUUCCUUCUGUCUUUCUCCCGCCUUUUUCUCCAUCUUUCUGUUGACACCCCCUUUUUUUUUUUUAUAACAUCACAUCUUCUGGAAUGUGGCAUAGUCUUUAGUCCUCCAUUGUCAAGUUUGAUACGGCCCAGAGAAAUAGGUUAAGAUUAAUUUGAACUGUUGAAGCUGUUUUCGCUGAUGUCGUCUUUGUCGUUGUUGCUCGAUAUUUCCUAUAUCUACUUGUAUAAGUGCCCCAGGUUGGCACUAAUACAGCAGAUAUAGAAAUAUAGGCGUUCUGACCGUGGCUAUCCCGUUUUCUUUUACUAGACGUAAUAUAUAACGCGCCCUUCUAUAAUUGAGAGGGUAGAGUUGCGUGUGAUUUGAUGGAGAUUUAACUGCUGUUUCUAGGUAUUCAAGGGUUCUCGCUCCUUGACUUGACUAUUGACUCUUUCUAAACAGCUGUAGAGGAACGAUAGCUCUGCAGGAAGAAACUAAAUAUAGAGAAGACAGAAAGGAUGCCUAUCAGAUAUUUAGAAUUGGUUGUGUUUAUGUGAUUCCUUAUAUUGGCAGGAAGACUGUUCUUGUGUAGAGUUGUCAGUAAAUGAAUACAAUACGCAUAAGUGGAGUUAUCACUGAAAAAAAGAAACAAUUCUCGAAUUGGAACCGCAUUUAAUUAAUACAUUGUUCCUGGAGUAAUCAAUGAUAGAAUUAUCGUACUUUGAAGUGGAGUAAUCCCCGAAAGAAUUACCGCACUUUCGAUUUGACUUAUUUCUGAAUUAGUAGAAUAUUCCUAUGCGACACUCAUUGCUGAAUGUGUCCUCACCAACACAUCCCUGAAUGAAUAUAGUAUAACCAAAAUAUCUCUUGCCUGAUACUUCUUUUAAUAUUCAUUUCAACCCGUGCCAUGGAUUGAUAGUCUCACGUAUGGUUUUAAUAUUUAAGUGAGGGAAGGCGGCGAGCUGGCAGACACGUUAGCGCGCCGGGCGAAAUGCGUAGCCGUAUUUCGGCUGCAGUUGCGUUGUGAGUUCAAAUUCCGCCGAGGUCAACUUUGCCUUUCAUCCUUUCGGGGUCGAUAAAUUAAGUACCAGUUACGCACUGGGGUCAAUGUAAUCGACUUAAUACCUAUGUCUGUCCUUGUUUGUCCCCGCUAUGUUUAGUCUCUUCUGGGUAAUAAAGAAAUAGGUAUUUCGUCCGUCGCUACGUUCUGAGUUCAAAUUCCACCGAGGUCGACUUUGCCUUUCAUUCUUUCGGGGUCGAUAAAUUAAGUACCAGUUGCAUACCGGGGUCGAUCUAAUAGAUUGGCCCCCUCCCCCAAAAUUUCGGGCCUUGUGUCUAGAGUAGUAAAGAAUAUUUUUGUCGAGUAAGGCGACGAGCUGGCACACGCGUUAUCACACCGGGGAAAAUGCUUAGCGGAAUUUUGUUCGUCUUUGUGUUCUGAGCUCAAAUUCAACCGAUCCGACUUUGCCUUCCAUCUUUUCAGGGUCGAUAGAAUAAGAACUAGUUGACCCCUGGAGUCGGUGUAAUCUAUUUACCCCUUCUUUGAACUCAUUGGCCUUAUGUUAAAGUUUGAAACCAGUAUUGUAGUUUCAAGGUGAGAAGACAGUACCUUUGACCCUUCAUAGGGCUUUUGAGAUCGGUGAGGUAGGACGGGGAAGGUGUCCUCAAGCCGGAAACGGCUCACGAAAGUCUGCAACGAAGCAGAUUCUUCUAAAAAAGCCAAAGCUACUUGGCGGUGAUGUUAUACUAAGGAAGAGGCGAAGUCUACCAUCCACGUAGGCUGCUACGUGAUUUCAAUUCAGAAUGAAAAGAACUGGAGCCAAUACUGCUAAGCAUACGGCCCGACGUUCUUACAGGUACUUUUUUUUUAUCAUCAAACCUGACAGAAUGAAAAGCAAAGUUGAUCUUGCUGGGAUUUGAAUCUAGCGCAUCGAAUGUCACAACAAACAUCGCGAUGCAUUCUGUCUGAAACUCUUACUACUAAUACAUCGCACAUAUUCAUCUGAGCUUCAUUGUGUGGUGUUUACACAAUAUACACACCACACACACACACAUGUAUAUUUAAAAAUCACACAUUUGUUGAUUCAGCCACACGUAUACUCAUUACUAUAUACUCUUGCUCAUAUACUUACUGAAAGGCAAACUCGCAUCUACUUGUACAUACUGACACAGUGUUAUUCAUACACAGACUGACGCAUGCCUAUAUUUAUUUUAUGAAGUAAACAAAAGGCCAAGAGUCUAUUGGUUGUGCUCCAUUCAGUCAUGUGUCAAAUCAUGUUGCCAGUGUCUUGUUUAUUUUGAGUUCAUUGCCAAAAUACUUCCCACUCAACAUCUUUGUUUGUGACCCAAAACUGUGAUUUCAAAAUGUCCAGAAAAUGACUUAAGUGUAUAGUAGUGUGUGAAACAAGGACUGUGGUGUAGCGUCUUGUGUUUCACCAAUCACAGCCAUUAGAAAUGUGAGGUUUGGGAAUUAGGUCGAUAGAUCAAUAAUUAGGUUUCAGUUGUGAAGAAUGUUCCUCCCUUUGGAAACGUUCCCAAAUGGCUAUCGGAAACCUUCUGGUUGGGAGCCAGUUAGAGUGUCCCCGGGCGACGUAGUGGGAGACAGAGAGCGAGAUUAUAGGGGGGUAGAAUAGAGAGAGAAAGAGAGAGAGAAGGGGAAGGGAGGUGGGAGAGAAAAUGAAAUUGUGGAAAGGGACAGUGUGAAAGAGGACGAGAAAUCGAGGUGAAAGAAAAAAAAGAAACGGAAACAGCGAGAAAGAAAGAAUGAGAGAGAGAGGGAGAGAGGUGGAGAGGAAGUGGUAAGAGAAGAUAGAAACAGAAAGAGAAAUUGAAAAGUGUGACCAAUGGCAAAAUGUCAGGAAAAGAAUGCAAGACAAAGAUGGCGACAGGAAAAGGAGAGGAAAGGUGAAUUAUAUUUCAAGGUAGAUGAAAUUUAAAUAGUAUGUUAAUCUCAAUAAUUCUUCUUGAUUAUCACACCUAAAACUCAAUACUACAUUUAGAAGAUAUAUUCCAGAGCUGUGAUUAAAAAGCCUUCAAUUAGGAAAUCGUUUAGAACGAUAGUUUUUAAGUUGGGCGGAACGCCCACUUGCGCGUAUUAUCAUCUCAGGUAAAUGAGAGGUAAAUAUCAAGAAUGCACUAUAGGAGGGGGCUAAGGGUUUAGAAGGGCCAUAAUAAUCUUUCUGAGAUAUGAAAUAUUUGAACUAUGUAGAAUACUUAUAUUUUAAAACAUUUCCCUUCAAAACUGUUGUCAGAAUAAUAAUAAUAAUAAUAAUAAUAAUAAUAAUAAUAAUGAUAAUAAUAAUAAUUUUGUUUUCGGAUUUGGUUUGCAAGAUUCUUUAUAUGAGUUCGUGUGUUGAAGCAUAUUCUGUUGUGUCUGGGGAGAGUCAUUUUCUUUUUGUGCCUUAUUAUUUAACACACUCACUGAUAAAAUUUCCACUUAUUUCUUAUUUCCAACGAAAUUUUAAGAAAAUAAAAAUAAGAAAUAAGUGGAAAUUUUACCGGUGAGUGUGUUAAAUAAUAAGGCACAAAAAAAAUGACUCUCCUCAGACACAACAGAAUAAUAAUAAUAAUAAUAACAGGAAAUUGUGUUAUCAGUGAGCAGAAAUAUGACGAAUGAUGAGUCUGCGCCAAAGUCCUGUAUACUUGUGUAGUAAUUUCUAAGGACACUAUUCUAUGAAAAUAUGAAAAAGGGAUUGGGCCGGGGAUGAGGGAAAAAUAUGGAGGAUAUACCAUUUCGCAAACUUAGCAUCCCUUUCAUGAAAAUACAUACGCACACACACACACACACACACACACAACCACGCACAUACAGGGGUAAUCGGGAUAAAUUUGAUGAUUUAUAUGUUUCCUUUUUUCAGGUAGAUCUUGAUGUACGGGGUGGGGGAAGUCAACUGCGUUGGAGAGUUUGGAGAUUAAAGGUCUAGUUGAAAAAAAGUUAAUAUGGAAGACUAGAAAUUAUUUGAAUAUUGGAAAAGAGUUACCUGUAUCAAUGAUGAUUCGCUCCGGGUAUGAAGGUGCCGACAUCUUGACUGCUGAUCAGUCGCACGUUGGAGAGGGUUGCUGCUGGAAGACCAUGCGUAGCAGCAGGAUCCGGCUCCUUGUUACACCCACGAAAAGAGUCAGAAGUGACUGCCGGAGAAUUUCAAUGACUUCCCCAGCCCCAAUUUAAGGCUCCCUAAUUUCCCUGAUAGUAAUCCCAUGGGUUGCGCUGUUGAGAAAGACACCAACCGCUCUACUUGCUACACCAAGGCCGAGCUGGUUACCGAGAUAAGAUCAAAGCGGUGAUCGAAGAUCUUCCCAGGGACGCAGCGAGGAACGCAUGCGCCAGGUUCUGGUACCGUCACGAGGCCAUGGUGGAAGGUGAAGGCAGCUACUUUAAGAAAGCUGUUAACUCCCAGCCGUAAUGAAGUUGAUGUGCUUUGACUUUUUAAAAAUACUUCUACGGUGUAUUGUGUUUCCUUUUCUAUUUUGCAAACUAUCAAAUUUAGCCUGAACACCUUGUGUGUAUGUAUGUAUGUAUGUAUGUAUGUAUGUAUGUAUGUAUGUAUGUAUGUAUGUAUGUAUGUAUGUAUGAUGUAUGCAUGCAUGUAUGAUGUAUGUCUCUCUCUCUCUCUCUCUAUCUAUCUAUCUAUCUAUCUAUAUAUAUAUAUAUAUAUAUAUAUAUAUAUAUAUAUAUAUAUAUAAGGAAAAAUUUUUUUAAAAAUGCAGAAUGCUCAAAUGAAAGAAAAUUUUAAUAAAAUGAGAAAAUGAUAAAAUAUAUAAAUAUAUAUUUAUUCAACCGGUUUUCGUCAUUGUAUGACUUGUCAAGAAUAUUUAUGUUUUAAGAAGUUUUUUAAAAAUUAGAAAGGGGAAAAAAGAAAAUUGCAUUGUUUUUUGUAAAAGAAUAAUGAUAAAAAUGUACAAAAAUUGAAAAAUAAGUUCUCCGAUACAUUGUGAGUUCGUUGUGUAUCUUGAGUUUUAUGGUUGUUUACCAAAAAAUUACCUUGAGGUGUUAAGAUCCAAAGGGAUUAAGAGCAUGUGAUGUGUUGUGUUGUUAAAUUCAGCAUGUUGCAGGACAGGAAGUAGUAGUAAUUGUGGUCCUGGUUCUUCAGUUCCUGUGUUGUGAGUAAGGGGAGACAACUCUUUUGAGUUCUUCAAUAAAACCCAAAUUAUAAAACUAUCAUUUUAGCUUCAUUUGCAUUAUCUUUUUUAUAUAAUUGCUUGUUAACUUAACUUUCAGAUUUUAACACUUUAUUUAUAUUAUUUUCUAAUAAUAUAAAUCUGCAUAGACAAUUGCAUUUCAAAUUGUCAUAUCAUUUAUAAUAAAAAUGAUAGUAAUAACAACAAUAGUAAAAAUGAUAUUUAAAGAAUAUAGGUUUUAGUUUGAAGUGAUGAAUGCAUGGUAUCUUUAUAUAUUUGUGUUAGUCCAUCCAUGAAGAGUGAGGUAGAGAAAGGAAGUUUGAUCAACGAGGAGUUUGCAUAUUAAGUUGUUUGGAAUUUUUCAAUAAAGAGAUUCUCCUUGUUAAUUCUCUCCUGUGUGGUGAUCCCGUCUUUACAUUGGUAGAAGGGGAAUAUAUAGAAUUUGGGGUUUAAGUCUUUAGCACAUGAGUCUAAGUGGUCACUCAGUGGAAUUUGUCGGUAUUCCGGGAGAUUUAUUUGUUCUUUAUGCACCGUUACUCGUUUACGUAACGGGAGACUCGUUUGUCCAACAUAAUUAUGUUGGCAACCAGCGCAUGUGAGAACGUAGAUAAGGUUCUCGGAGGAACAGGAGAAGUUAGUCUUGAUUUUAAACUUCGUACCUUGUUUGAAGGUAAAUUCAGAGCCUUCAAGUAGAAAGGGGCAGGUACCACAGUUUGAGCGUGCACAUUUUUUUACUGUUGGGGGUGGAUGUGGUGUGUGAAGUUUGGCAUUUAUCAAGAGUUUUUUUAAAGAUUUGUGUUGCCUUUUGCAUUUGAGGAUUUUGUGUGUAUUUAUAAUGUUUUUCAUUUUUGGGUCUGUUGACAGUAGACUGAGGUUUUGUAUGAUUGUGGUGUAUGCUUCGAUAUUUUUGGGGUUGUGGGUGGAAAUGUAUGGAAGUAUUUUGAGGUUGUGUGUGGUGUUAGGUUGGGUGGUUUUCAGUGUAGUGUUGUCUAGUUCUUUGGCGCGUUUUAUUCCAUACUCUAUAAGGGUGGAGGGAUAUUGACGUUGUAAUAGUGUUUUUUUGAGGUCUUGAAGGCGUAUUUCUCGUGUUUUUGGAUCCGAGACAAUGGUGCAUACCCUUUUAGCUAAAUUGAAAGGGAUAUUUGUCUUGGUGUGUUUUGGGUGGCAUGAACCAAAGAGGAGGUAUUGUUGUGAGUCUGUAGGUUUGUGGUAGAUGUCUGUUAUGAUUUGGUUCUUAGGUGUUUUUAUAAUUAGGAGAUCAAGGAAUGGGAGAUGAUGUUUGUUUAAUUCCAUAGUGAAUUGGAUGUUGGGAUGUAUGUUGUUUAGUAUGGUUUUGAAUUCCAGGAGUUUUUCAUAAGGUUCUUUCCAUAUGAUGAAACAAUCAUCUAAAUACCUUUUCCAGUUUUCCAUUAGGUAGGUGUGGAAAACAUGUCCAAAUUUCUGGCUUGAUAUUUCAUAGAGUGACAGUUCGAAGUAACCCAUUAUGAGGUUCGCAAGGACUGGUGCAGCCUUGGUACCCAUCGCAAUGCCACAUUUUUGACGGUAGUGUGUGUCGUCGAAGAGAAAAAAAUUGUUUGUCAGAAUGAACUUAAGAGAUUCUGUAAUAAAAGACUUGUUAAUGCGGUCAGGGAAUGUCUCUGGGUGUUUUUCUAGCCAGAAGUCAAUUGCCUCUAUACCAUACUCAUGUGGAAUGUUGGUGUAGAGGUUGAUGACAUCAAAGGAUACCAGGAGUGCCUCCUCGUUAACUGUUUUCGGGAGGUGUUUGAGCAUGUCCAGAUCAUCCCUAAUGAAACUUUUGAUGUGGGUAAGGAAAGGUUUCAAAAGGAUGUCUAGGAAGUUACUCAGGCGGUGUGUUUCACAGGAGGUACCAGCCACGAUGGGCCUUAGUUUUAGGUCCUCCGGUGCUUUGAUGUUGAUGUGGAUGUCAGUGGAGAGUUUGCAGGCUUCGGUGAUGUAUUUGUUUUUAUGGAUUUUAGGAAGGCCAUAAAAAAGGCUGGGCUUGCAUUUGAAAAUGGUGAUAUAAUCCCUUUCUUUUUCUGUGAGUCCCUGACCGUGUUGGCGUAUGAGUGUGGUGAGGUUUCUGAUUGUUUUUUGCUGUUUGUAGUUGUUAAUAACCUCAUAGAAAAUGUUAUUUUAAGCAUGGAGAACACUAGGUGUUUAUAAAAUUCCGUGUCCAUAAGGACCACAGCAACUCCCUUUGUCCUCUUCUUUGAUGGUGAGGUUUUUAUCCAGUUGUAUGUCACGUAGGUUUUCCCAUUCUUCCUUACUGAAAUUGGAUUUUACCUUGGUUUUGCUUGGGGUAAAGGGGAGACUCUGCAAACUCCUCGUUGAUCAAACUUCCUUUCUCUACCUCACUCUUCAUGGAUGGACUAACACAAAUAUAUAAAGAUACCAUGCAUUCAUCACUUCAAGCUAAAACUUAUAUUCUGUAAAUAUCAUUUUUACUAUUGUUUAUUAUUACUAUCAUUUUUAUUAUAAAUGAUAUGACAAUUUGAAAUGCAAUUGUCUAUGCAGAUUUAUAUUAUUAGAAAAUAAUGUAAAUACAGUGUUAAAAUCUGAAAGUUAAGUUAACAAGCAAUUAUAUAAAAAAAGAUAAUGCAAAUGAAGCUAAAAUGAUAGUUUUAUAAUUUGGGUUUUAUUGAAGAACUCAAAAGAGUUGUCUCCCUUACUCACAACACAGGAACUGAAGAACCAGGACCACAAUUACUACUACUUCCUGUCCUGCAACAUGCUGAAUUUAACAACACAACACAUCACAUGCUCUUAAUCCCUUUGGAUCUUAACACCUCAAGGUAAUUUUUUGGUAAACAACCAUAAAACUCAAGAUACACAACGAACUCACAAUGUAUCGGAGAACUUAUUUUUCAAUUUUUGUACAUUUUUAUCAUUAUUCUUUUACAAAAAACAAUGCAAUUUUCUUUUUUUCCCCUUUCUAAUUUUUAAAAAAACUUCUUAAAACAUAAAUAUUCUUGACAAGUCAUACAAUGACGAAAACCGGUUGAAUAAAUAUAUAUUUAUAUAUUUUAUCAUUUUCUCAUUUUAUUAAAAUUUUCUUUCAUUUGAGCAUUCUGCAUCUUUAAAAAAAUGUUUCCUUACUUAUCAUUUCUCCACGUGCGGUCAACACAACCCCACCAUUUAUUGAUAUAUAUAUAUAUAUAUAUAUAUAUAUAUAUAUAUAUAUAUAUAUUGCUCUUUUACUUGCUUCAGUCAUUUGACUGUGGCACCACCUUUAGUCGAGCAACUUGACCCCAGGACUUAUUCUUUGUAAGCCUAGUACUUAUUCUAUCAGUCUGUUUUGCCGAACCGCUAAGUUACGGGGAUGUAAACACACCAGCAUAGAAUAUUUGUUGUUUUCCUCCAUUUUCUUAUCGUAUAUAAAAUACAAAAAUGGUACAAUAACGCAAAACCUCCAGACAGUUAGGUGAUACAAAAAAGGAACAACAAAACAAGGACGGGUCUCCAAAUGACCCGUCCUUGGCUUCUUUGUAUCGUCUGUCUGGAUGUUUUUCGUUCUUGUUCCAUUUUGUAUUUUUUAUAUAUAAAAAUGUAGCGGCAUAUGUACACUUUGGUCUCUUAUAUGUAAGUAUAUAUAUCUAAACUUUGUACGACUCUAUUAUUCUUUCUGUAUUUUCAUUAUUUCCUUCGUUUUAUCAGCCCCUUCACACAUAAUUCGUUCAUUCCACUCUUCGUUCUUUCGUUUCCCCUCUCUCACAUUUCCUAGCCUUCUCUUCAUGCUCACCUUCCCUCCUCUUUCACUCCACUCUGUCCUUUUCAUUUUUUUCUCAUUUCUCCUUAAUUCUUCUAUCCCUCUACCUCUACUUCUCUCUCUACUUUCCCCAUGUGACCCCAUGUAUAUAUAUAUAGGGAGGAUUCACAAAAAAAAAAGACGGAGACAGGUGGUGUAGACAACAAACAGAUGUAUAACUCCCGGGAAGUGAAAAAGUCUUUAACGUUUCGAGCCUACGCUCUUCCAUAGAAAGGAACACAGAAAGAAACAAGGAGAGAAAAAAAGAAUGUAUACUGGCUAGCGAUCUAUUGUAUGUAUGUAUGUAUAUAUAUAUAUAUAUAUAUAUAUAUAUAUAUAUAUAUAUGCAUGUAUCGUCUGCCUUUCUGGUUUCAUUUGCUGAAGAGGAGAUAACCACCACUCCGAAAUUCAUGUGUCCAACUGUCUUGUCUGGUUAGGGAGUCUAUGAACUGGCUCGUAGCAUUUAUAUUUAUUUAAAUUUUGUCCUUCACAAAACACAGUGAAUAGCUUUUUUAAGGGUUCGAGUAUGCGCCAAGCGUAUUUGAGCUGAUAAAAAAGUUUGUGUUUGUGUAUGUGUGUGUGUAUGCACACAUACAUACGUACAUUUUGAAGACUACAGAUCUAAUCCAUCACUGGAACUGUUAAAAAAAGCUUCCAGAAGUUUAUCAUUUAAAUGCAUAUGAGUAUGUCUAGAUAUGCAACUAUAUGCAUGAGUUUAUAUACAUAAACCAAAUCAUACAAAUCUGCACAUAUACAUAAAUACAUACAUACAUACAUACACAUACAUACAUACAUACAUACAUACAUACAUACAUACAUACAUACAUACAUACAUACAUACAUACACACAAACAAACAAACAAGCAAGCAAAAAUGCCCUCUUGUUGAUGUUGAAAUUCCGAUGAAGGAGCCUUGAGUUUUGGUUUGAAACCGGCUCUUUCUCUAUUGGCAACAAAUCUUGAAAUAAAACUGAACAAUGACAUACGUAUACACGCACAUACAUAUAGGCACACACGUACACACUCACGCAAAUAUCCUUACAUGCCUACAUAUAUACAGGUAAAAAAUUCUCCCAAAAACUUUUUCGAGUGUGGAGAUAGCUGGUAUUUGUCAGUCUGACAGCCAAUGAUUGAGACAACGGCAUGUACCCUAGCACAAUUGAAAAAAAAAGACUACACCAUCUAUCCCAGGGCAACUACAAAAGGCUACAGCAUUUACUCCAGUUUUGGAACUUACGCUAUUGAUACCGAAGACGUAAAUACAGGCAGAAACGGAGCAGAGAUUUUAACCACAGAUGAGAAUAAAAGACAAAGGAUAAAAUUGUUAUUUACCGAAUGAAGUGUUAAAACAAAAGAAUUGUCCUCAUAAUAAAUACGGAACACACGUGAGAGAAAAUGUGUUGAAAGAUUUGUCAGAUCUGUUAAGUGGAAAUCUAAAUAGACGGAGAAACGUCAUUGACAGGUAGCUGCUGCUGCUGCGGCCGCUGCUGAUUCUUGGUAGCUUCAAAAAUACAACGAAUGUAAACAGACACACAUACAUAUAUAUAUAUUAACAUUGGAUAUGCCUACUCACUCGCACACGCAUAUAUAUAUAUAUAUAUAUAUAUAUAUAUAUAUAUAUAUAUAUAUAUAUAUAUAUAUAUAUAUAUAUAUAUAUAUAUAAGUAGGUGAAUGAAUUAUCCUAGUAUGGACAAUUCGGUUAACCGAUACCCGGGUAGCGAAUUCACGUCAGAAAACACGGUUGAAGCUACAUGCCAGGGGCAGAAAUCACGUGUUUUCGUGUGGAAAUUUGUGUGUUUUUUUUAACUAUAAAUAAGUGAAAGAAUGGAGUCGAACGGCGAUUUUAACAAAAUUCCUUUAUUCUCGACAUAUGUUUCGAAGACUGCAUAUUCUUAAUUCCGAAGGAAUAAAGGGUGCAUUAUGCCGCCUUCUCAUCAGGAAAGACAAGGAACCUAUGUCAGCAUCAUGACGAACAAAAACUUUUAGAUGACUUCCCACUGUGGACUCCAUGUGGGAAGUAAUCUAAAAGUUUUUGUUCGUCAUGAUGCUGACAUAGGUUCCUUGUCUUUCCUGAUGAGAAGGCGGCAUAAUGCACCCUUUAUUCCUUCGGAAUUAAGAAUAUGCAGUCUUCGAAACAUAUGUCGAGAAUAAAGGAAUUUUGUAAAAUCGCCGUUCGAUUCUCACUAUUCUUUAUAUAUUAUAUAUAUAUAUAUAUAUAUAUAUAUAUAUAUAUAUAUAUAUAUAUAUAUAUAUAUAUAUAUAUAUAUAUAUAUUCUCUGUUUCUCUCCCUCUGGCUGUCAUAUAGAUGUCUCACAGGGUGAAAGUGUAGCCAAGUCAACCGGGUGCCAAGAUCAGCUCGAGAUUUCAUAAGCAUCUGGAGAUUUCAUAAGCAUCUGAAACAAGCGAAGUAUGGUACAUACUACCAAACCAUACUCGCUCACGGAUGACGACUGGUUCCGUAGAUCUGCCUCAGGUCUUUCAUUACAAUGUUAGUCAUUACACUGUAGCACCGUCUUCAAGAAAUUUUAAUGGUGUGAAGACACCCCAGUACUAAUUUUUUUAAGCCUGUUACUUAUGUUAUCGGAGUCUCUUGCCGAACCGCUAGGCUUCGGAAACGUAAACACAUUUGUUGUCGAGUGGUGGUGAUGGGACAAACACAGACACAAAGACGCACCCCCACACACACUGAUCUAUCUAUCUAUCUAUCUAUCUAUCUAUCUAUCUAUCUAUCUAUCUAUCUAUCUAUCUAUCUAUCUAUCUAUCUAUCUAUCUAUCUAUCUAUCUAUCUAUCCAUCCAUCCAUCCAUCCAUACAUCCAUCCAUCCAUCCAUCCAUCUAUCUAUCUAUCUCUCUCUCUCUCUCUCUCUCUCUCUCUCUAUAUAUAUAUAUAUAUAUAUAUAUAUAUAUAUAUAUAUAUAUGUAUAUAUAAUAAAAACUACUCAUUGUGUACAGGGCAUCACCAACGAGUGAAGAAUACGCAAACACACGAGAGUAAAGUGCAGGACAAAAUGCCUAAAGAAGAUAAGUCCUCAUCAGUUGUCAGACUGUUUAUUACUCCUAUUUCGUGCUUAUAUAUAUAUAUAUAUGAACAACAGAAGCGGAAGCAGCAGCAGCAGCAGCAGCAGUAGUAGUAGUAGUAGUAGUAGUAGUAGUAGUAGUAGUAGUAGUAGUAGUAGUAGUAGUAGUAGAGCAGUAGCAGCAACAGUAGUAGUAGUAGUAGUAGUAGUAGUAGUAGUAGUAGUAGUAGUAGUAGUAGUGGUAGCAGCAGCAGCAGUGGUACAGAUUGGUCAAACGUUUUUCUUUUGCUUGCAAAUGCUGGGUUCAAUUCUACCUCAGAGGCAUGGAGAAAAGGGGAUGGCUAUAGAGAAUAGCAAACCAUUCUCUGUUACAACACUCUGGUUCUGCAGAAUCUAAUAAUACAAUUAAUUUGGUGUUUGGUGAAUGAAUGGGUGAAUACAAGAACGAAGGAAGAAGGAAAAGAAGGAAGGGAUGCAAUUUUCCAAUUACAUUAACCUGCAUCGACACGAAUCCAAACUGCCAGAGGACAGAUGUAAUACCCAUCUAUGUCAGAUUCGUAAUAAAUAUUAUGAUUGCAAUUAUUAAUUAAUCAUGUAGAUACAACUUCGAUCUGUACCUUCACAUGAUCGCUGAAGAAUAAAAUACACAACAAAACAAAGACUGAAACUAUUUAAAGUAAAAACAAAAAAGAAACAAAAAUAAAAGUGAAAAAAAAAGCAAAUGCGUGCGUAUAUUUAACUACUGCUGUUGAUUAAAAAUGCAUUAUGAAAUAUAUAUAGUGACAGACCUACCACUUCAUCAAUAUAGCAACAGAUUUUGUGUGUGUGUAUGUAUGUAUAUAUAUAGAAACACACGGGCAUACAAUUGUGUGGGUGUAUGUAUAUUAGGGACAAACCUAUUACGGCAAUAAUAUUGUAAUAGCAAAUAUAUAUAUCAUUCUUAUAAAUUAUGAUUUCAGAAAGUAAGUUCGUAUCUAUUUGUAAAUAUAUCUUUAGUGUAUAGUAAUUAAUGCAUAAUAAAAAAUUAAUUAAUAACUUGUCAUUAACAGGUCAUGGGGUACAAGUACAAGAAUGCUGCACAACGAUUACUACAGAGCUUACAGUAUGCACACAUGCAUGAAUACAUGCACGCAUACAUGCCUGACAGUCUGGAUAAGCCUGGAUUUUCAGAAAAAGAAACCAGCCAAUUGAUUCGCACGUUGCGAAUACAAUCUGUUAGUGGAACAAUUAAAAUAUGCAAGACUUUUUUCUAUGUUUAAAAUGUGAC
rnacentral:lncRNA from 1 species